CCUACGGGUGGCAGCAGUGAGGAAUAUUGGUCAAUGGGCGCGAGCCUGAACCAGCCAAGUCGCGUGAGGGAAGACGGUCCUAUGGAUUGUAACCCUCUUUUGUCGGGGAGCAAAAGACGCCACGCGUGGCGUUCCGAGAGUACCCGAAGAAAAAGCAUCGGCUACACCCGUCCCAGCAGCCGCGGUAAUCCGGAGGAUGCGAGUGUUAUCCGGAUUUAUGGGGUUUAAAGGGUGAGCAGGCGGAAGAUCAAGUCAGCGGUAAAAUUGAGAGGCGCAAACGCUUCGAGCCGUUGAAACUGGUUUUGUUGAGUGAGUGAGAAGUAUGCGGAAUGCUUGGUGUAGCGGUGAAAUGCAUAGAUAUCACGCAGAACUACGAUUGCGAAGGAAGCAUACCGGCGCUCAACGGACGCUCAUGCACGAAAGUGUGGGUAUCGAACAGGAUUAGAUACCCUUGUAGUC
rnacentral:rRNA from 1 species